CGUAGGGUGCAAGCGUUAAUCGGAAUUACUGGGCGUAAAGCGUGCGCAGGCGGUUAUGUAAGACAGUUGUGAAAUCCCCGGGCUCAACCUGGGAACUGCAUCUGUGACUGCAUAGCUAGAGUACGGUAGAGGGGGAUGGAAUUCCGCGUGUAGCAGUGAAAUGCGUAGAUAUGCGGAGGAACACCGAUGGCGAGGGCAAUCCCCUGGACCUGUACUGACGCUCAUGCACGAAAGCGUGGGGAGCAAACAGGAUUAGAUACCCUGGUAGUCCACGCCCUAAACGAUGUCAACUGGUUGUUGGGUCUUCACUGACUCAGUAACGAAGCUAACCCGUGAAGUUGACCGCCUGGGGAGUACGGCCGCAAGGUUG
rnacentral:rRNA from 1 species